rnacentral:sRNA from 1 species
GCUGGGCACGGUGGUGCACACCUGUAAUCCCAGUAGCUCAGGAGGCUGAGACAGGAGGAUCACCAGUUCAAAGCCAGCCUCAGCAAUGGUAAGGCACUAAGCAACUCAGUGAGACCCUGUCUCUA